UUAAGUCCAAUUGAGUUGGGUCUGAAUCCAAUUAAGCUGAGUUAGUCUCAGCAAACCCAAAUUGAAUAUGAAUCAAGCCCAAUUUAAACCAGUUUAACUAAAUUGAGACCAAAUUGACUUCGGAUUGAUCCUGAUUCAAGCCUAAAAAGCCACAUUGAACCUGGACCAAAAUUAAACCUAAUUGGACUUGAAAUUGAGCCUAAUAACCUAAUCAGAAGACCAAAUUGAUCCGAAAGGGCUUGACCCAAUCAGGAACCAACCUAAUUCUUUAAUUAAAGACCCAAUUGACCUACGUGAACCCAAUCUGGUUCUAAAUCGAGCCCAAGGGCUCUAAAUUAGGUACAUUGGACUUGAGAUCUAAACAAGUAAAUUCAUGUUAUGAUAAAUUAGAAAAUUAUGAAAUAAAUAGAGAAUAGUGUGACCCCUAUGUGAUUUAUUUAGGUGAUCAAGGAUUUGUCACCCGAACGUAAGAAAUUGGAAAGCAAAUUGCAGUAAGUAACC
rnacentral:lncRNA from 1 species